UAGGGAAUCUUCGGCAAUGGGGGCAACCCUGACCGAGCAACGCCGCGUGAGUGAAGAAGGUUUUCGGAUCGUAAAGCUCUGUUGUAAGAGAAGAACGUGUGUGAGAGUGGAAAGUUCACACAGUGACGGUAACUUACCAGAAAGGGACGGCUAACUACGUGCCAGCAGCCGUGGUAAUACGUAGGUCCCGAGCGUUGUCCGGAUUUAUUGGGCGUAAAGCGUGCGCAGGCGGUUUAAUAAGUCUGAAGUUAAAGGCAGUGGCUUAACCAUUGUUCGCUUUGGAAACUGUUAAACUUGAGUGCAGAAGGGGAGAGUGGAAUUCCAUGUGUAGCGGUGAAAUGCGUAGAUAUAUGGAGGAACACCGGUGGCGAAAGCGGCUCUCUGGUCUGUAACUGACGCUGAGGCUCGAAAGCGUGGGGAGCAAACAGG
rnacentral:rRNA from 1 species